AAUUCUCAACGAUGGAUAUCUUGGUUCCCGUAACGAUGAAGAACGCAGCGAAGUGCGAUAAGCAAUGCGAAUUGCAGAACCGUGAGUCAUCAGAUUUUUGAACGCAAUUG
rnacentral:rRNA from 1 species